rnacentral:lncRNA from 1 species
CACGCCCCCCACCAAGGCUAUAGCCCACCCGUUUUUUGGCCAUUUUUCCGCUGGGGGGUCUUGGGACCCCGACCUUCGGGGGCUGAUUUUUGGGCGCGGGUGUGCCCGUGGCCUAUUUUUGGCACACGGAGGCCGCCCGCAAAGUCUGGGGCCAUUCCGAGUCCGGCGGACGAACUUCGCCCACGCCCCCCCACCAAGGCUAUAGCCCACCCGUUUUUUGGCCAUUUUUCCGCUGGGGGGUCUUGGCGCCCCGACCUUCGGGGGCUGAUUUUUGGGCGCGGGUGUGCCCGUGGCCUAUUUUUGGCACACGGAGGCCGCCCGCAAAGUCUGGGGCCAUUCCGAGUCCGGCGGACGAGCUUCGCCCACCCCCCCCCCCACCAAGGGUAUAGCCCACCCGUUUUUUGGCCAUUUUUCCGCUGGGGGGGCUUGGCGCCCCCACCUUCGGGGGCUUAAUUUUGGGCGCGGGUGUGCCCGUGGCCUAUUUCUGGCACACGGAGGCCGCCCGCAAAGUCUGGGGCCAUUCCGAGUCCGGCGGACGAGCUUCGCCCACCCCCCCCCCCACCAAGGCUAUAGCCCACCCGUUUUUUGGCCAUUUUUCCGCUGGGGGGUCUUGGCGCCCCGACCUUCGGGGGCUUAAUUUUGGGCGCGGGUGUGCCCGUGGCCUAUUUUUGGCACACGGAGGCCGCCCGCAAAGUCUGGGGCCAUUCCGAGUCCGGCGGACGAACUUCGCCCAC